AGCAGAUUGCCUGCACUGGGCCCUUCUUCCACCAUGUGCUGCCUCACCUUAGGCCCAGAGCAAUGGAGUUGGCCAUCAAUAGACUAAGACCUCUGAAACCAUGAGUCCCAAAUAAACUUUCUCUCCUCUAGGUUCAUCUUGUCUGAUAUUUUGGUCACAAACACAAAAGCUGACUAAAACGCUGUGUCAUGAUUUUGUAGAUGGCUUGGAGAAGCAGUAAAAUCCUGAAUCAGAGGUAAAAGACUUUUAUUACUUAGGGGAAAAGCAGUAGCUAGAGUGUCAUAAUUUGUGUUCAUUCUCUGAAUCCUGUUCCUACAGGGGUGACCAUUUGGUUCUAGAAAACACCAGCAUGAACAGCUGACUACGUUACAAAAACACUGAACAUGGCAAUAAUUCUUUUGCAGCAACUAGUGGCCAGCCUGCAAUUUGUCCCUCAUCUGUGAAGGGUGAUCAUUUUAAAUGCAACUGUGAGAAAUAGUCCCAAUAAAGAGCCAUCAAGAGCCUGGCAUUUGGGGCAUAUCCCCAAGAAUGUGCAGGAAUGCAAAAAGUCUGUGGAGAACUGGUAAAUCCUAACCUUAAUUAGCACGUGUCUCUUUUCAUUAACCCAUCUCGUAAAGAUACAGGCAAGAUUUGCAAGUAUGAGAGCAAACGGUGUAAACCAACAACCAUGUUUUGCCAAAAAUAAGCCUUGCGUAUCCUUUCAAAAAUAAGACAAAGGCAAUCAAUACUUCUUUUACAUCUUUGUAGAGUCCUGUGAUUUUUUUUUUUUAGUUAAUGGCUAAUUUUAAAAUCAUCACUGCAGUAAAUUUUAAAAUUAAAAAAACUUAUUUUCCAGAUCUUCAAAAAUACAUCAUUGAGUUUAGAAAUCAGCAGUCAAACAAGAUCUAAAAUGAUAACUAUUAUGUGGAAGAAACACUCAAUAGUAAACAUGAGUAUUAGGGCCUGGCAAGGAUUACAGUUGUCAAUAUUUAAUUAUAAGGCUUUUUCUAAAUCUUUAAGUGAAAGCUCUAAUUAGGAAAAUGCUAAUGCACAGAGACAGCCUUGCCUAGCAAGUGCCAUAUCUAAUUGCUUCUCCAUUUUUUUCCCAAGUAAGACAAUGCUUCUCAUUAUGUGUUUUACUAGAAUGAAUAAAAUAUUUGAUUUGGCAUUAAAUAUACACAAAAUAAUUAAUAACAAGCAUGAUUACAUAAUGAAUUAAAGUGAAUUGACAAAAUGAAUGUUUUAUUCUUAAAAUGUCAUUUUUAAAAUGACUUUUUAAUAGGCAUUUGUUUCCUUAUUAGUACUAACAGGAACAUUAUUUUGAGGAAGAUAUUUUUAGAUUACUUAAUAACAUGAUUUUUUUAUUUUUCAAAUUUUUUCAAUUGGAAAGAGUAUAAUUCCUUAGAGUCAGUUUUUUUUCUUUUUCAGGAAAAAUAUUGCACAUUAGUUUAGAAGCAGAUUUUAAUCCUAGUUAUUAUCUUAGAUAAUCCAUUAAAAACCCUUGAUAUCACAUAUCUGUAAAUAAUAUAGUCUGACUGUCUGGAAUUAAAUCUUAUGUUUUUCAUUAGUAACUAUGUAGAAUCAGACAAUUUAUUAUCUUUUCUGAGCCUCAGCUUCUUCACCUGUAAAAUGGAAAAUAAAGUUCCUAUCUUGUGCAUAUGUUUUGGAAAUUUGUUAUAAUGUCUAUAAAACAUGUGUGCAGUGUUUGGUACUUUAUUAGAAAAUAAAAUAUGUAUUUCAAAUGCUUAUAAAAUAUUAUUUAUUUGAAUAAUGUUCAUAUCAGUCAGUUAACAGGUUUACAAAAAUGUUAACACUAAUACAUAAAUAAAGUUCUAACUGAAGUAGAGCUUUUCUUGAGAACAUACCACUUGCUUCUCUAAAAUAUUUCUUCAUAUAUUUAAAUUAAAAUUUAC
rnacentral:lncRNA from 1 species